rnacentral:rRNA from 1 species
UACGUAGGCAGCAAGCGUUGUUCGGAGUUACUGGGCGUAAAGGGUGCGUAGGCGGCCCUGUAAGUAUGGUGUGAAAUCUCCCGGCUUAACUGGGAGGGUGCGCUAUAGACUGCGGGGCUCGAGUGUGGGAGAGGAAAGUGGAAUUCCUGGUGUAGCGGUGAAAUGCGUAGAUAUCGGGAGGAACACCGGUGGUGUAAACGGCUUUCUGGACCAUAACUGACGCUGAGGCACGAAAGCGUGGGUAGCAAACAGG